UACAGAGGGGGCAAGCGUUGUCCGGAAUUAUUGGGCGUAAAGAGCUCGUAGGCGGUCUGUCGCGUCUGCUGUGAAAACUCAGGGCUUAACCCUGAGCUUGCAGUGGGUACGGGCAGACUAGAGUGCGGUAGGGGAGACUGGAAUUCCUGGUGUAGCGGUGGAAUGCGCAGAUAUCAGGAGGAACACCGAUGGCGAAGGCAGGUCUCUGGGCACUUACUGACGCUGGAGGAGCGAAAGCGUGGGGAGCGAACAGG
rnacentral:rRNA from 1 species